rnacentral:ncRNA from 1 species
GGUUAAGUAAUUAAAGGGAUUAUUAGGGAUGCCUAGCAGAUAUGUUGAAAAGGAAGUAUAAUACUAAAAGUAUAGAUACAAUCAGAAUAUUUAUACAAUCCUAAGGUAAACCGAAUAGUAUAGAACGUUGGGAAGUAAAACAUUACAGUACCAAUAGGAAAGGAAAUCAAAAGAGACUCUGGAAGUAAUGGUGAGUGAAACCAGAAUAGCCUAAAAUUUUAGUGACACACAUAGUACUUUGGAAUAAGUAGACUCGUACGUAUAAAAUAAUAAUUAUAGGUAUCGACCCAUAGAAGGUGAAAGUCCUGUAUGUGAUGAAACUAGAAAAGUAAUUAAGUAAUAUGAGGACGUCAGCCUUGUAUGAAUAAGGGGGUACCAUCCUCCAAGGCUAAGUAUAACAUAUCUAGCGAUAGUGAAGAGUAACGUGAGUGAAAGGUGAAAAGUAAGUAGAUGACUAGUGAAAUAGAACCUGAACUAGUAAUCCUAUAAGCAGUUGGAGUUUUUAGUAAAAAUGACAACGUACCUUUUGCAUAAUGGGUCAGCGAGUUAGUUUAUAGAGCAAGAUGAAUAAUCUAAGCGAAAGCGACUGUAAUAAGUGGAUCAAAAAUAGUUUUAUGAACUAGACCCGAAGCCAAAUGAUCUUACCAUGACCAGGCUAAAAAAGGGCCGAACAGGUGAAUGUUGCAAAAUUCUCUGAUGAGUUGUGGUAAGGGGUGAAAGGCCAAUCUAAUUUGGAUGAUAGCUGGUAUUCUGCGAAACCUAUUUAGGUAGGGCCUUUAUUUACACUUUUAUAUGUACAGCACUGAUCAUCAUACAUUAGCUAGAUAUUUAUAUCACUAUGUUAAAUUGGGGGGUUUCACAACUCUACCAUUGAUGGUUAACCUCGGAAGGAUAAUAGUGAAUGAUAAAGGCACAGUCUAUUCAUGAUAAGGUGGAUAGACAAAAGGGAAACAGCCCAGAGCACGUGUUAAGGUCCCAAAAUAUUGUUAAGUGAAUAUAAGAAAGUUUAACUCCUAAUACAACCAUG